AUUGAACGCUGGCGGCAUGCCUUACACAUGCAGGUCGAGCGCGAAAGGGGGGCAACCCCCGAGUAGAGCGGCGGACGGGUGAGUAACACAUCGGAACGUACCCAGUAGUGGGGGACAACCUCGAGAAAUCGAGGCUAAUACCGCAUACGACCCACGGGUGAAAGCGGGGGACCGCAAGGCCUCGCGCUAUUGGAGCGGCCGAUGUCCGAUUAGCUAGUUGGCGGGGUAAGAGCCCACCAAGGCGACGAUCGGUAGCUGGUCUGAGAGGACGACCAGCCACACUGGGACUGAGACACGGCCCAGACUCCUACGGGAGGCAGCAGUGGGGAAUUUUGGACAAUGGGGGCAACCCUGAUCCAGCCAUGCCGCGUGCGGGAAGAAGGCCUUCGGGUUGUAAACCGCUUUCGGCCGGAACGAAAUCGCCCGGGUGAACAUCCCGGGUGGAUGACGGUACCGGAAGAAGAAGCACCGGCUAACUACGUGCCAGCCGCCGCGGUAAUAC
rnacentral:rRNA from 1 species